UGCAGUCGAACGAUAGAAGNNGGGCUUGCUCUCUUCGAAAGUGGCGCACGGGUGCGUAACGCGUAUGCAACCUACCUUAAUCAGGGGGAUAGCCCGAAGAAAUUCGGAUUAACACCGCAUAAAAUCACAGUACAGCAUUGUACAAUGAUCAAAUAUUUAUAGGAUUAAGAUGGGCAUGCGUGACAUUAGCUAGUUGGCGGGGUAACGGCCCACCAAGGCGACGAUGUCUAGGGGAUCUGAGAGGAUGACCCCNCACACUGGUACUGAGACACGGACCAGACUCCUACGGGAGGCAGCAGUAAGGAAUAUUGGUCAAUGGAGGCAACUCUGAACCAGCCAUGCCGCGUGCAGGAAGACAGCCCUCUGGGUCGUAAACUGCUUUUAUUCGGGAAUAAACCUACUUACGUGUAAGUAGCUGAAUGUACCGAAGGAAUAAGGAUCGGCUAACUCCGUGCCAGCAGCCGCGGUAAUACGGAGGAUCCAAGCGUUAUCCGGAUUUAUUGGGUUUAAAGGGUGCGUAGGCGGCUUUUUAAGUCAGGGGUGAAAGACGGUAGCUCAACUAUCGCAGUGCCCUUGAUACUGAAGAGCUUGAAUGGACUAGAGGUAGGCGGAAUGUGACAAGUAGCGGUGAAAUGCAUAGAUAUGUCACAGAACACCGAUUGCGAAGGCAGCUUACUAUGGUUUAAUUGACGCUGAGGCACGAAAGCGUGGGGAUCAAACAGGAUUAGAUACCCUGGUAGUCCACGCCCUAAACGAUGAAUACUCGCUGUUAGCGAUACACAGUUAGCGGCUAAGCGAAAGCGUUAAGUAUUCCACCUNGGGGAGUACGGUCGCAAGAUUGAAACUCAAAGGAAUUGACGGGGGCCCGCACAAGCGGAGGAGCAUGUGGUUUAAUUCGAUGAUACGCGAGGAACCUUACCCGGGCUUGAAAGUUAGUGAAUCAUUUAGAGAUAGAUGAGUGAGCAAUCACACGAAACUAGGUGCUGCAUGGCUGUCGUCAGCUCGUGCCGUGAGGUGUUGGGUUAAGUCCCGCAACGAGCGCAACCCCUAUGUUUAGUUGCCAGCACGUUAAGGUGGGGACUNNNNNNNGACNGCNUGUGCAAACAGAGAGGAAGGAGGGGACGACGUCAAGUCAUCAUGGCCCUUACGUCCGGGGCUACACACGUGCUACAAUGGAUGGUACAGAGGGCAGCAAGCUGGCAACAGCAAGCAAAUCUCCAAAAGCCAUUCACAGUUCGGAUAGAGGUCUGCAACUCGACCUCNNNAAGUGGAUNNGCUNGUAAUNNNA
rnacentral:rRNA from 1 species